CAACGCCGGGAAACUCACCAGAUAAGACAGCUGAAUGAUAGUCGGGCUGAAGACUCUACUUGACUAGCUGAGAGGAGGUGCAUGGCCGUCGUCAGUUCGUACUGUGAAGCAUCCUGUUAAGUCAGGCAACGAGCGAGACCCACGCCAACAGUUGCCAGCUCGUCCUCCGGGAUGGUGGGGACACUGUUGGGACCGCCUCUGCUAAAGAGGAGGAAGGAAUGGGCAACGGUAGGUCAGCAUGCCCCGAAUUAUCUGGGCUACACGCGGGCUACAAUGGGUGGGACAAUGGGUAUCGACACCGAAAGGUGAAGACAAUCUCCUAAACCUGUCCUUAGUUCGGAUUGUGGGCUGCAACUCGCCCACAUGAAGCUGGAAUCCGUAGUAAUCGCGUUUCAAAAUAGCGCGGUGAAUAUGUCCCUGCUCCUU
rnacentral:rRNA from 1 species